rnacentral:rRNA from 1 species
GAUGAACGCUGGCGGCGUGCCUAAUACAUGCAAGUCGAGCGAACAGAUGAGGAGCUUGCUCCUCUGACGUUAGCGGCGGACGGGUGAGUAACACGUGGAUAACCUACCUAUAAGACUGGGAUAACUUCGGGAAACCGGAGCUAAUACCGGAUAAUAUAUUGAACCGCAUGGUUCAAUAGUGAAAGACGGUUUUGCUGUCACUUAUAGAUGGAUCCGCGCCGCAUUAGCUAGUUGGUAAGGUAACGGCUUACCAAGGCGACGAUGCGUAGCCGACCUGAGAGGGUGAUCGGCCACACUGGAACUGAGACACGGUCCAGACUCCUACGGGAGGCAGCAGUAGGGAAUCUUCCGCGAUGGGCGAAAGCUUGACGGAGCAACGCCGCGUGAGUGAUGAAGGUCUUCGGAUCGUAAAACUCUGUUAUUAGGGAAGAACAAAUGUGUAAGUAACUAUGCACGUCUUGACGGUACCUAAUCAGAAAGCCACGGCUAACUACGUG